rnacentral:lncRNA from 1 species
UCUGCUUCUCUUGUGCUCACUCCUGCUCUGCUCCUACUCCUUCGCAGCUGCCCCCAGGAAGCUUGUCCUGGUGCAGCAGCCACCCCUCGUCCUCAAGUACCACAAUGGCCCGCUCCUUAGGGGUAACUACACCCUGAGCCUGCUCUUCUACGGCCGUUUCUCUGCCGCCCAGCGUUCCAUCGUCGUCGACUUCGUUCGCUCCCUCACCCCCACCGGGGCCUCCCUCCCGCCUCCCUCCGUCGCCUCCUGGUGGCGCACCACCGCCAGCUACGCCGGCGGCGACGUGCACCUCUCUCUCGGCCCGCAGCUGAUGGACGAGUCCUACUCCAAGGGGAAGCUGUUAUCCUCCUCCGACAUGGCCGCGCUGGCCGGAAAGGCGGCGGCCGGGGGCGGCCACCGGGCCAUUGGGGUGGUCGUCACCGACGGCGACGUGGCGGUCGAGGGAUUCUGCUCCAGCCGGUGCGGGACGCACGGGCGGCUCGCGGGCUCCGCCGGGUUCGUCUGGGUGGGCGACUCGGCGAGGCAGUGCCCGGGCCAGUGCGCGUGGCCAUUCCACCAGCCGAUCUACGGGCCGCAGGCGCCGCCGCUGGUGGCGCCCAGCGGCGACGUGGGGAUGGACGGCGUCGUCAUCAACCUGGCGACGCUGCUGGCGGGCGCGGCAACCAACCCCAACGGCGACGGCUACUUCCAGGGGCCGGCGGACGCGCCGCUGGAGGCGGUGACGGCGUGCACGGGGGUGUUCGGCAGCGGGGCGUACCCGGGGUACCCGGGCAAGGUCCUGGUGGACCCCACGAGCGGGGCCAGCUAUAACGCGAGGGGACUCGGAGGGAGGAAGUACCUGCUGCCCGCCAUGUGGGACCCCGUCACGUCCCAGUGCUCCACGUUGGUCUAAAGAUUCGCGCAUCGUGAUCACAGUGGCCUCUCUAGCGUUUAAGGUGGUGUCGUCUCUGUUCGCAGUCUAUACAACUGUUGUAGAAGUG